UACGAAGGGGGCUAGCGUUGCUCGGAAUGACUGGGCGUAAAGGGCGCGUAGGCGGUUCGUACAGUCAGACGUGAAAUUCCCGGGCUCAACCUGGGGGCUGCGUUUGAUACGUGCGGGCUUGAGUUCGGAAGAGGGUCGUGGAAUUCCCAGUGUAGAGGUGAAAUUCGUAGAUAUUGGGAAGAACACCGGUGGCGAAGGCGGCGCUCUGGACCGAGACUGACGCUGAGGCGCGAAAGCGUGGGGAGCGAACAGG
rnacentral:rRNA from 1 species